AGAGCUAAGGAGAUUGGUGAGCAUAGGAUUUUGUAUGGCUUGAUCCGUAGGUUGUAUGAAGCUUGUUUGUUCAAAUAGCUUGUUUAUUAGUUAGAGCUAAAGUUCUUUUUUUUUGCAACAGACAUAAUUUUUAUUUUAUUAUAGUUGUGCCAAGAAUGGAUUGUCUACGUACCUAGAAUGGGAUCAAACCUUGCAGUUGUUCACUUUAUCUAUUUUGACAUCCGUUACACUAUGCUUUGAUUAUGUCAACUCGGCAUGGGCCUUUCACUGAGCUCGACAUGGGUCUUGGACUAAUUUGGGCCUAUUUUUUCUAGUAGGUCUGUAGGAAUUUGAUAUGGGUUCUUGGACCAGGUAAGGAGCGGGUGAAAUCCGCCUCCAACACUUUACUUGGUUCCAA
rnacentral:lncRNA from 1 species